CAAGACUAUUAAACAGAUGCAGUCAUCAUUUACAUCUUCAGAACAAGAGCUAGAGCGAUUAAGAAGAGAAAAUAAGGAUAUUGAAAAUCUGAGAAGAGAACGAGAACAUUUGGAAAUGGAACUAGAAAAGGCAGAGAUGGAACGAUCUACCUAUGUUACAGAAGUCAGAGAGGUACUUAAAACAGAAUCUUUUCAAACUUGCUUCUCAAUUCAGAUUAAGUUUAUAACAGUGAUAUUUCAGUAUAAGUUGUUUGUGGCAGAGCUUCCGAGUAGCAUACAAAACAUGGGCUAUCAUAAGGAGAUCAAUCUUAAACUCUAAACUUCAUUGCAGCUGAAAGAUCUGUUGACUGAAUUGCAGAAAAAACUUGAUGAUUCAUAUUCUGAAGCAGUAAGACAGAAUGAAGAGCUAAAUUUGGUAAGAAGCUUGUCCUCCACUGGGUAUCAAGUAGGCACUGAAAACACUUUGUUGACAUGUGGAGAAACCAUCCAAGCUUUUUUUUCUUUGCUAACAUCUUUAGCUUGGCCUUUUUGUAAGUCUAAGAUAAUCUUCAUAUUCCGAUGAUUCCUAAGAUUAUCUUUCUUUUCUUGACUCCUAAAAUGAUCCGUCUUUUCUUAGCUCCUAACAAUGGCAUGUUUGGCUUCCAACUCUUUUUCAAAAUUUUCGAUGUUUUAUAAAUCCUAUUUUCUCAAACAGCAGUCUUUUCUGUGAAUAAAGAAAUGAAAGAUUGGCUGAGUUACGAAGAUUUUCUUCUCAGACUAUCAUAGCUAAUGGGGCCUUUUAUUUUCUAACCUGGGAGAAGAUUAUAUUGAAAGUCAAAGACACGUAUUCUUCAUUCAAGGGCAGUAAUCUAAUCCAGUUUCUAAUUUUAACCUAGUCUCUCUAUAUAUUACAAAUAUUAAAAAGCGUACAAGAGUCUUUAUUAUCAACAUACUAUUUAGAGCAUAGUAAUCCUAAAAGCAUAGACUUUGAGAUAAAGUUAGCUAAAUGUCUUAGAACAUAUGGUACCCUGUAUUCCUAUUCUCAAGUUUUCUAAAAACUGUACUGAUUGUGACAGAUUUAGCUAUUAGACAAAUAUGGCUGUCUUGCUCUCUGUUUCAAACAACAAUUUUUAGGUCUUCCUUGUGAGUUAAAAAUUGUUACAGCACAGGGAUUAGAUUUUUUUUUUUUUGAGUACCUUAAUAAACUCUCAGAAGAUUACAGUAAGUAAGUUUUUUCUUUACCCAAAGUUCACCCUGCCCAGUUUGGAAUUUUCUUGUUAGCAUUACUCCAUGUACCAAGAAAACUUUAACUCAUUCAUUUGUGGUUGGUAUCCUAUGUUAUGGCAAAAAUUUAUGGGAAUCAAUUUUUAGAGUAGAGCUGUGUGAAAUACAGGUUGCAUAUUCUUUAUCUGGAAUGCUUGGAACCAGCUAUUUUGGGGGGGAUUUUGGAUUAUUUGUAUUAUAUGCUUGCUCUGUAUGUGU
rnacentral:sRNA from 1 species